GGGUCAGCAGGUUGGUCGUGCCACCGGUACGUACUGGUCUCACUGAUUCCUCCUUCCUGAAGAACCGUAAUGCCAUUAAUUUGGUGUUGCGGGGGAACAGGACUGUUACUUUGAAAAAAUUAGAGUGUUUAAAGCAAGCUAACGCUUGAAUACAUUAGCAUGGAAUAAUGAAAUAGGACGAUCGAUCCCAUUUUGUUGGUUUCUAGGAUUGACGUA
rnacentral:rRNA from 1 species